CAGCCGCCGCGGUAAUACGUAGGGUGCAAGCGUUAAUCGGAAUUACUGGGCGUAAAGCGUGCGCAGGCGGUUAUAUAAGACAGAUGUGAAAUCCCCGGGCUCAACCUGGGAACUGCAUUUGUGACUGUAUAGCUAAAGUACGGCAGAGGGGGAUGGAAUUCCGCGUGUAGCAGUGAAAUGCGUAGAUAUGCGGAGGAACACCGAUGGCGAAGGCAAUCCCCUGGGCCUGUACUGACGCUCAUGCACGAAAGCGUGGGGAGCAAACAGGAUUAGAUACCCCAGUAGUCCCUGUCUCUUAUAC
rnacentral:rRNA from 1 species